GAUGAACGCUGGCGGCGUGCUUAACACAUGCAAGUCGAACGAAGCACUCAUGACAGAUUCUUCGGAUGAUGGAUUGAUUGACUGAGUGGCGGACGGGUGAGUAACGCGUGGGUAACCUGCCUCAUACAGGGGGAUAACAGUUAGAAAUGACUGCUAAUACCGCAUAAGCGCACAGUACCGCAUGGUACGGUGUGAAAAACUCCGGUGGUAUGAGAUGGACCCGCGUCUGAUUAGCUAGUUGGUGGGGUAACGGCCUACCAAGGCGACGAUCAGGAGCAGGCCUGAGAGGGUGAACGGCCACAUUGGGACUGAGACACGGCCCAAACUCCUACGGGAGGCAGCAGUGGGGAAUAUUGCACAAUGGGGGAAACCCUGAUGCAGCGACGCCGCGUGAGCGAUGAAGUAUUUCGGUAUGUAAAGCUCUAUCAGCAGGGAAGAAAAUGACGGUACCUGACUAAGAAGCACCGGCUAAAUACGUGCCAGCCGCCGCCGUAAAAC
rnacentral:rRNA from 1 species